rnacentral:rRNA from 1 species
GAUGAACGCUAGCACAGGCUUAACACAUGCAGUCGAGGGAAGAACUUUCCGGCUUCCACCGGCGUACGGUGCCUUACGCCUUAUCAAUUCUGCCCUUCACUAGGGAAAGCCCCGAAAAAAAUUUGGAAUUAAUACCUAAUGGUUAUAGGGAGGGGGCUUCCCUUUUUUUUUAAAACUGAGGGGGGGGAAAAAAAGAAGAACGCGUUUCCUUUACCCUAUUGGGAAAGGGAAGGGGUCCCCCCAGGGGGCUAAUUAAAGCGGGUUUCGAAAGGGGUUUCCCCCCCCGGGUUUCGCGAAACACCGGUACAUAUCUUCCGGACCUAACUCUUUCGGAAAAUGUGUCAAUGGGCC